rnacentral:sRNA from 1 species
GCCAGCAGAGUUGUACACACUGUAAUCCCAACUACUUGGGAGCUGAAGCAGGAGGAUCACUUGAACCCAGGAGUUUGAGGACAGCCUGGACAACAUAGUGAGUCCCUGUCUCAA